GAGCAGUGUACUUUGUAUCCCUAAUUUACUCAAGUGUUUCCUUUAUUUUGGCAAUGACCUGUAUAUGUCUAUUGUCUGCCGAUAGGUAAUUAUUGUCUUGCCCUGGUGACAAUCUAAUUUCUUCUCUGAGAUUGACAAAGCAUGAUCAGGAAAUUCUAUAGAUUAUCUACUGGGCCAUGCUCCAGAUGCAUUCUAUUUGUCCAGCACCUUUUCCAGAUCCAGACACUUCCAGACACUUUUAACAUAACAUAGAGCAGGUAAUGGUGUUUCUCAUUCCUCUGUGGGGCAGGAACGGGUGCAGCUCUUCCACAGGAGGAUUCAGUCUCUAGGUAAAGCCCUGCUGAGGUCUGUAGAAAAGGGCAGAAGAAGAGGGACCCAGAUUCCUCCAGACACUCACAACCUGCCUCCCAGGUGGGUCCUACCUAGCUGAAAUUAUGGGGGUGUCCUCUGUCUCUUGCAUGGCCUGUGGAAGGGGAGGAGAGGGACAGGAUGACCCCAGCAUGGUCACAUGCAUCACUCCUCAGUGUAAAGAGACUCCAGUGAUGAUGAGCAGCUGGGCCUGUGGACUGCGGCGCUAACUUGCCCCCACAUCCCCCACAGGGGCACCAGGAGACGAUGGAGAUGGGGAUCGCCAUGGCAACGUGGCGACGGCCCUCAGAGAGCAGGGUGCAGCGUGGGGCCUGCAGCAGUAUAGGGCUGGUGGAAGGAGACAAUGGGGACAGUAGUAGAUUUUGGCGAUUUUUUUUAAAUUGAUUUUUUAAAAAUAUAUAUAUAUUUUUUAAUAACUUUAUUUAACGAGGCAAGUCAGUUAAGAACACAUUCUUAUUUUCAAUCACGGCCUAGGAAUGGUGGGUUAACUGCCUUUUUCAGGGUCAGAACCACAGAUUAUUACCUUGUUUCGGUCACUAGUCCAACGCUCUAACCACCUGCCUCACGAGGAGCCUGCUUGUUACGCGAAUCCAUUAAGAAGCCA